rnacentral:misc_RNA from 1 species
CAAAUCUUUUGGGGUGGUGGGGGAGCUGGUCUAGGCUGGCUUAACCCGCUGCAUCCAACAUUGGCACAGGGCCGCGAGGCUCUGAUGUUUACGCUUGUUUGUUUGACAGAUUUACUUGAGACUAAAAUAUAGA